AUUCCAGCUCCAAUAGCGUAUAUUAAAGUUGUUGCAGUUAGAACGCUCGUAGUCGGAUUUCGGGGCGGGUCGACCGGUCUGCCGAUGGGUACGCACUGGCCGACGCGUCCUUCCUUCCGGAGACCGUGCCUACUCUUAACUGAGCGGGGUCGGGAGACGGAAUUUUUACUUUGAAAAAAUCAGAGUGUUUCAAGCAGGCAGCUCGCUCUUGCAUGGAUUAGCAUGGGAUAAUGAAAUAGGACUUUGGUGCUAUUUUGUUGGUUUCGAACACCGAAGUAAUGAUGAGAAGGGACAGUCAGGGGCACUCGUAUUCCGCCGAGAGAGGUGAAAUUCUCAGACCAGCGGAAGACGAACCACUGCGAAAGCAUUUGCCAGGGAUGUUUUCAUUA
rnacentral:rRNA from 1 species